GGGGCUGUAGCUCAGUGGCAGAGCGCUUGCCUAGCAUGCAUGAGGCACUGGGUUCAAUCCUCAGCACCACA
rnacentral:tRNA from 1 species